AAAUGAAUAGACGGGGGCCCGCACAAGCGGAGGAACAUGUGGUUUAAUUCGAUGAUACGCGAGGAACCUUACCCGGGCUUGAAAUGCAGAUGACAGGCGGCGAGAACCGUUUUUCCUUCGGGACAUCUGUGUAGGUGCUGCAUGGUUGUCGUCAGCUCGUGCCGUGAGGUGUCGGCUUAAGUGCCAUAACGAGCGCAACCCUCAUCGUUAGUUGCCAUCAGGUCAAGCUGGGGACUCUAACGGGACUGCCAUCGUAAGAUGUGAGGAAGGUGGGGAUGACGUCAAAUCAGCACGGCCCUUACGUCCGGGGCGACACACGUGUUACAAUGGGUGGUACAAAGGGCAGCUACCGGGCGACCGGAUGCCAAUCUCUAAAACCACUCUCAGUUCGGAUCGGAGUCUGCAACUCGACUCCGUGAAGCUGGAUUCGCUAGUAAUCGCGCAUCAGCCACGGCGCGGUGAAUACGUUCCCGGGCCUUGUACACACCGCCCGU
rnacentral:rRNA from 1 species